rnacentral:rRNA from 1 species
AUUGAACGCUGGCGGCAGGCCUAACACAUGCAAGUCGAGCGGAUGAAGGGAGCUUGCUCCUGGAUUCAGCGGCGGACGGGUGAGUAAUGCCUAGGAAUCUGCCUGGCAUUUGGGGAUAACGUCCGGAAACGGGCGCUAAUACCGCAUCCGUCCUGAGGGUGAAAGUGGGGGAUCUUCGGACCUCACGCUAUCAGAUGAGCCUAGGUCGGAUUAGCUAGUUGGUGGGGUAAAGGCCUACCAAGGCGACGAUCCGUAACUGGUCUGAGAGGAUGAUCAGUCACACUGGAACUGAGACACGGUCCAGACUCCUACGGGAGGCAGCAGUGGGGAAUAUUGGACAAUGGGCGAAAGCCUGAUCCAGCCAUGCCGCGUGUGUGAAGAAGGUCUUCGGAUUGUAAAGCACUUUAAGUUGGGAGGAAGGGCAGUAAGUUAAUACCUUGCUGUUUUGACGUUACCAACAGAAUAAGCACCGGCUAACUUCGUG